GACAUUGGGCCUAACUCAACCCCAAAAGCUAGCUUAUAAGGUGAGGAUUAUCCAAGCCAUAUAAGGAGACCAAGGACCUCAAAUCCCUCCGAUGUGGGACAACUCAACACCCCCCAUCACGCCCGGAUCUUUGGAGCGUGGACAACAUAAAUGGGGGCCCAACAUCGGUAACAAUAAUUGGGAUGGGCCUGGCUCUGAUACCAUGAAAAGAAUGGACCUUGGGCCUAACUCAACCCCAAAAGCUAGCUUAUAAGGUGAGGAUUACCCAAGCCAUAUAAGG
rnacentral:lncRNA from 1 species